rnacentral:rRNA from 1 species
CAGCAGCCGCGGGAAUACGAAGGGGGCUAGCGUUGCUCGGAAUGACUGGGCGUAAAGGGCGUGUAGGCGGUUUUGACAGUCAGAUGUGAAAUUCCUGGGCUUAACCUGGGGGCUGCAUUUGAGACGUUAAGACUAGAGUGUGAGAGAGGGUUGUGGAAUUCCCAGUGUAGAGGUGAAAUUCGUAGAUAUUGGGAAGAACACCGGUGGCGAAGGCGGCAACCUGGCUCAUUACUGACGCUGAGGCGCGAAAGCGUGGGGAGCAAACAGGAUUAGAUACCCGCGUAGUCCCUGUCUCUUAUAC